AGUGAACGCUGGCGGUAGGCCUAACACAUGCAAGUCGAACGGCAGCACAGUAAGAGCUUGCUCUUACGGGUGUCGAGUGGCGGACGGGUGAGGAAUACAUCGGAAUCUACUUUUUCGUGGGGGGUAACGUAGGGAAACUUACGCUAAUACCGCAUACGACCUACGGGUGAAAGCAGGGGAUCUUCGGACCUUGCGCGAUUGAAUGAGCCGAUGUCGGAUUAGCUAGUUGGCGGGGUAAAGGCCCACCAAGGCGACGAUCCGUAGCUGGUCUGAGAGGAUGAUCAGCCACACUGGAACUGAGACACGGUCCAGACUCCUACGGGAGGCAGCAGUGGGGAAUAUUGGACAAUGGGCGCAAGCCUGAUCCAGCCAUACCGCGUGGGUGAAGAAGGCCUUCGGGUUGUAAAGCCCUUUUGUUGGGAAAGAAAAGCAGCAGGUUAAUACCCCGCUGUUCUGACGGUACCCAAAGAAUAAGCACCGGCUAACUUCGUG
rnacentral:rRNA from 1 species